GCCGCCUUUGAAAAGCUUUUUUUUUAAUUAUUAUUUUUUGUUAGUCUCUUUUGAAAGGUGCAAAAGUUCUGUCAGUGUGUGUGUGUGUGUGUGUGUGUGAGUAUGGGGCUUCCCUUCUCCAAAAUGACUGAUUUGCAAGUUCUAUAAAUUUAUAAGUUUUCGAGUUGAAGUUGCACGCCCCCAAAAAAACAAAAGUUGCAGGCGUUGUUACCCCAUUGUUUCCAAGACUCUCUGCAUCGUAAUAACUGUAAACGAGGCUAGAGCCAAAUGUGGGCUGCACAAGCGGGGAAUAAAUAUGGCAAACCUAAAAAAAAACUCAAAGCACAACUAAGCAAAUGCUCUGCAAUAAAUUUACACAGAUGAAAUCCGAGUUGGCUGACGGCGGCGAUCAUUGCCACAAAUAGAAAAUAUGGCAGACAGUUAAAUUGAUUGUAAACUACAUAAAUACAUAUGUAAAAGAUAUCGGCCUAUAAUAUACAUUAUAAUAGUCGUAGUUAG